AUGAACGCUGGCGGCUUGCCUAAUACAUGCAAGUCGAGCGAACAGAUAAGGAGCUUGCUCCUUUGACGUUAUCGGCGGACGGGUGAGUAACACGUGGGUAACCUACCUAUAAGACUGGGAUAACUUCGGGAAACCGGAGCUAAUACCGGAUAACAUUUGGAACCGCAUGGUUCUAAAGUUAAAGAUGGUUUUGCUAUCACUUAUAGAUGGACCCGCGCCGUAUUAGCUAGUUGGUAAGGUAACGGCUUACCAAGGCAACGAUACGUAGCCGACCUGAGAGGGUGAUCGGCCACACUGGAACUGAGACACGGUCCAGACUCCUACGGGAGGCAGCAGUAGGGAAUCUUCCGCAAUGGGCGAAAGCCUGACGGAGCAACGCCGCGUGAGUGAUGAAGGGUUUCGGCUCGUAAAACUCUGUUAUUAGGGAAGAACAAAUGUGUAAGUAACUGUGCACGUCUUGACGGUACCUAAUCAGAAAGCCACGGCUAACUACGUG
rnacentral:rRNA from 1 species